rnacentral:rRNA from 1 species
CCUACGGGGGGCAGCAGGGAGGAAUAUUGGUCAAUGGACGAGAGUCUGAACCAGCCAAGUAGCGUGAAGGAUGACUGCCCUAUGGGUUGUAAACUUCUUUUAUAUGGGAAUAAAACAGGGUAAGCAUACCCUCUUGUAUGUACCAUAUGAAUAAGGAGAGGCUAACUCCGUGCCAGCAGCCGCGGUAAUACGGAGGAUCCGAGCUUUAUCCGGAUUUAUUGGGUUUAACGGGAGCGUAGGUGGAUUGUGAAGUCAGUUGUGAAAGUUUGCGGCUCACCCGUAAAAUUGCAGUUGAAACUGGCAGUCUUGAGUACAGUCGCGGUGGGCGGAAUUCGUUGUGUAGCGGUGACAUGCUUAGAUAUCCC